ACUUAUUUAUAAUACCUCUAUAUUAUCUACAGAUUAUUCGUCCUAAAUUUGCCACGUGACAAUAUUUUUUUUAUUAUUAGGUGCAGGCUUCAUUCCAAAUAGGCUCAAGUCCUUAUAUAUUUUUCUUUUUUUUUUUGCUUGAGCCGAAUCGGAUUUUUAUCUUUUUUUUUUUCAAUCGAACCAAUCGUUAUUGAGUGUGGGCUUUUCUAAACCGGCUCAAGUAUUCUAUAUAUUUUUCUCUUUUUUUACUGGAACUAAACGGGAUCUUUUUUUUUUUUUUACUUGAACCGAAUCGGAUCACACCUAUGCAUUAAGGCGAACUAUUCUUCUUUCACUUCUUUCAGCUUAUCUUUCUUCAUCGACGAGAUGAAUUCCACUCCUUAUAUCAUCGCUUCUUUUAUUACUGUUUUCUCUUCCUUUUUGAUCUUUUUCUUUUCUCCAAUUAACUAUCCAUCGUAUUGUAC
rnacentral:lncRNA from 1 species